AACGCACCCUGCGCUCCCUGGUAUUCCGGGGAGCACGCCUGUUCGAGUGUCAUGAAACUAUCAAGUCAGGUCUUUUAUUGGAUCUGACUUGGAUUUGGACUCUGCCGUGUCUUUCAAUAGGUGCGGCUGGUCUUAAAAGUAUUAGCUGGCCUUUGUGAAGGCUUGGUUCUACUCGGCGUGAUAAUUAUCUAACGUCGAGGACAUUCUUCGGAGUGGCCAGGUCAUCCAAUAGACUGCUUCUAAUCGUCUCAGGACAAUUUUCUAAAUCUGACCUCGAAUCAGGUGGGACUACCCGCUGAACUUAAGCAUAUCAAUAAGCGGAGGAUGACACACUGCAGUCAGUCUUGUGAGUCAUCGAGUCUUUGAACGCACCUUGCGCUCCCUGGUAUUCCGGGGAGCACGCCUGUUCGAGUGUCAUGAAACUAUCAAGUCAGGUCUUUUAUUGGAUCUGACUUGGAUUUGGACUCUGCCGUGUCUUUCAAUAGGUGCGGCUGGUCUUAAAAGUAUUAGCUGGCCUUUGUGAAGGCUUGGUUCUACUCGGCGUGAUAAUUAUCUAACGUCGAGGACAUUCUUCGGAGUGGCCAGGUCAUCCAAUAGACUGCUUCUAAUCGUCUCAGGACAAUUUUCUAAAUCUGACCUCGAAUCAGGUGGGACUACCCGCUGAACUUAA
rnacentral:misc_RNA from 1 species